rnacentral:lncRNA from 1 species
AAUCCACAAAAUGUUGAGAGGCCAAAUCCUUGUCCUCAGAUAGUUGGCUUCAGGAGAACUUGCAGGGAAAGGAAAGAUAGCUACGAGGUGGAUUGCUCUGCAAGGAGAAGGCAGGAAAGCUGCUACAUAUCUUGGAUAUGAAGAUGUGGCUGGGGAGCUAAGACCACAGGUGCGGGAGAAGCUUCUGAAGGAAUGUGCAGUGAAGACCCCUCUCAAAUUUCCAGGAAAUAAGGUGCUGAGAGCACUGGCUCUCGUGUGUCAUAGCGUGUGCAGGGCCUGUGCGUGAAGGGGGAACCGUCACAGCCCGUUGCUAGGGGACAUCACCACGGGCUGCCACCCCCACAGCACUCACCCAUGUUUCAGAUAUUACCUCCUUUUCCUGUUCCCAAUUUGCUGUACCUCCCCCUUCAUUUCUGUCCACAUUUUAAGCUCUACACUACCGCACAGGCCUUUCUUUUUCUCUGAUUAAACCAUCUCUAGUUGUUCAUCUGUUUCCUCUGUUUCUUCAAUAGCAAACUGUACAUUUUUCACGAAUGUGUAAUGUAGAAACUGGGUUUGGCGUUCGGGUAUGAGUAAGAUUCG